AUUGAACGCUGGCGGCAUGCCUUACACAUGCAAGUCGAACGGCAGCACGGGUGCUUGCACCUGGUGGCGAGUGGCGAACGGGUGAGUAAUACAUCGGAACAUGUCCUGUAGUGGGGGAUAGCCCGGCGAAAGCCGGAUUAAUACCGCAUACGAUCCACGGAUGAAAGCGGGGGACCUUCUGGCCUCGCGCUAUAGGGUUGGCCGAUGGCUGAUUAGCUAGUUGGUGGGGUAAAGGCCUACCAAGGCGACGAUCAGUAGCUGGUCUGAGAGGACGACCAGCCACACUGGGACUGAGACACGGCCCAGACUCCUACGGGAGGCAGCAGUGGGGAAUUUUGGACAAUGGGCGAAAGCCUGAUCCAGCAAUGCCGCGUGUGUGAAGAAGGCCUUCGGGUUGUAAAGCACUUUUGUCCGGAAAGAAAUCCUUGGCUCUAAUACAGUCGGGGGAUGACGGUACCGGAAGAAUAAGCACCGGCUAACUACGUG
rnacentral:rRNA from 1 species